rnacentral:sRNA from 1 species
GGAAAGCCGGCCUACUCCUUCCACGUGUCUGCGGACGGGCAGAUGCAGCCGGUUCCCUUCCCCUCGGAUGCACUGGUAGGCGCGGGCAUCCCGCGGCACGCCCGGCAGCUGCACACGCUGGCCCAUGGCGAGGUGGUCUGUGCGGUCACCAUCAGCGGCUCCACACAGCAUGUGUACACGGGCGGCAAGGGCUGUGUGAAGAACCGAGACAACUACAUUCGUUCCUGCAAGUUGCUGCCGGAUGGCCGGAGUCUGAUCGUGGGCGGUGAGGCCAGCACCUUGUCCAUUUGGGACCUGGCGGCGCCCACCCCCCGUAUCAAGGCCGAGCUGA